CCCUUAGAUGUUCGGGGCCGCACGCGCGCUACACUGAAGGACUCAGCGUGUCUCUCCCCCUAUCCCGAAAGGGAUGGGCAACCCGUUGAACCUCCUUCGUGCUAGGGAUUGGGGUUUGCAAUUAUCCCCCAUGAACGAGGAAUUCCCAGUAAGCGCGAGUCAUCAGCUCGCGUUGAUUACGUCCCUGCCCUAUGUACACACCGCCCGUCGCUACUACCGAUUGGAUGGUUUAGUGAGACCCUCGGAUCGGUCCCGACUCGGGGUGGGCUUCUGCCCCGGUCGUGGUUUCGCCGAGAAGACGGUCAAACUUGACUACCUAGAGGAAGUAAAAGUCGUAACA
rnacentral:rRNA from 1 species